rnacentral:misc_RNA from 1 species
GAUGAAGAACGCAGCGAAAUGCGAUAAUUAAUGUGAAUUGCAGAAUUCAGUGAAUCAUCGAGUCUUUGAACGCACAUUGCGCCCCCUGGUAUUCCGGGGGGCAUGCCUGUCCGAGCGUCAUUGCUGCCCUCAAGCACGGCUUGUGUGUUGGGCUCCGUCCCCCCGGGGACGGGCCCGAAAGGCAGCGGCGGCACCGAGUCCGGUCCUCGAGCGUAUGGGGCUUUGUCACCCGCUCUGUAGGCCCGGCCGGCGCCAGCCGACAACCCAUCAUCCUUUUCAGGUUGACCUCGGAUCAGGUAGGGAUACCCGCUGAACUUAAGCAUAUCAAUAAGCGGAGGA